GUGAACGCUGGCGGUAGGCCUAACACAUGCAAGUCGAACGGCAGCACAGGAGAGCUUGCUCUCUAGGUGGCGAGUGGCGGACGGGUGAGGAAUACAUCGGAAUCUGCCCAGUCGUGGGGGAUAACGUAGGGAAACUUACGCUAAUACCGCAUACGACCUUCGGGUGAAAGAGGGGGAUCGCAAGACCUCUCGCGAUUGGAUGAGCCGAUGUCGGAUUAGCUAGUUAGCGGGGUAAUGGCCCACCAAGGCGACGAUCCGUAGCUGGUCUGAGAGGAUGAUCAGCCACACUGGAACUGAGACACGGUCCAGACUCCUACGGGAGGCAGCAGUGGGGAAUAUUGGACAAUGGGCGCAAGCCUGAUCCAGCCAUACCGCGUGGGUGAAGAAGGCCUUCGGGUUGUAAAGCCCUUUUGUUGGGAAAGAAAUCUUUCGGGCUAAUACCCUGGGAGGAUGACGGUACCCAAAGAAUAAGCACCGGCUAACUUCGUG
rnacentral:rRNA from 1 species